UCCCUGAUGUUAGCGGCGGACGGGUGAGUAACACGUGGGUAACCUGCCUGUAAGACUGGGAUAACUCCGGGAAACCGGGGCUAAUACCGGAUGCUUGUUUGAACCGCAUGGUUCAAACAUAAAAGGUGGCUUCGGCUACCACUUACAGAUGGACCCGCGGCGCAUUAGCUAGUUGGUGAGGUAAUGGCUCACCAAGGCAACGAUGCGUAGCCGACCUGAGAGGGUGAUCGGCCACACUGGGACUGAGACACGGCCCAGACUCCUACGGGAGGCAGCAGUAGGGAAUCUUCCGCAAUGGACGAAAGUCUGACGGAGCAACGCCGCGUGAGUGAUGAAGGUUUUCGGAUCGUAAAGCUCUGUUGUUAGGGAAGAACAAGUACCGUUCGAAUAGGGCGGUACCUUGACGGUACCUAACCAGAAAGCCACGGCUAACUACGUGCCAGCAGCCGCGGUAAUACGUAGGUGGCAAGCGUUGUCCGGAAUUAUUGGGCGUAAAGGGCUCGCAGGCGGUUUCUUAAGUCUGAUGUGAAAGCCCCCGGCUCAACCGGGGAGGGUCAUUGGAAACUGGGGAACUUGAGUGCAGAAGAGGAGAGUGGAAUUCCACGUGUAGCGGUGAAAUGCGUAGAGAUGUGGAGGAACACCAGUGGCGAAGGCGACUCUCUGGUCUGUAACUGACGCUGAGGAGCGAAAGCGUGGGGAG
rnacentral:rRNA from 1 species